CUAAUGUUUACCAUAUAUCCCAGAAUGCCUCGCUUUACAAAAUGAACGCGCCGAUAAUGGCUACAGUUCGUAGACGUGCUCGCAACCCACUAUAUGCAGUUUAAGUUCUACACGGUUCGAAAAGUGAUUCUUGGGAUCACACAAUCAAGGAAUGGCUAUGCACUGCAAAAGUUCAGUUCUUCAAGAUGUUGUUGCCUACGUUGAUGUGUGGUCCUCAGAGAAAACUGCAAAUUAUUCAAAACCCUUUGUUCAACAGCUGCAGGAAAUGGGAGCUCAGGUAACAAAAACAUUUAAUAAAGAAGUCACACAUGUUGUCUACAGUAAUGGUCACCCUGCCACAUGGCGAAAAGCUAAGAAAAGUGGUGUGAGGCUUGUCUCAGUUCUCUGGGUAGGAAGUUGUUACCAAGAUGGUGUUCAGAAAGACGAGGACCUGUUUCCAGCCAUAAGCAAUGAAAACAAUCCUGUACUUAAAAACAAGAAACAUCGCUGCAUGCAGCCAAAAGACUCUCCAGAGAGUACACCUGAGAAUGACAAGCGCAUAAAAAGGAAAUUAGACAGGAUGAUGAGAGACCUUCCUCCUAGACAACCUCUGGUAACAGAUAUAUCUCCCAUCAUUAUCGAUGAAGAGAAUGGAAUAGUCUACAGUCCUUUGUUGAGAAGAUCAGAUUACAUGGCACAACGACUAAAAGCCAUGAAAGAAAAGAGGGAAGACCUUUCACCCACUGCUUCUCAAAUGAUUGACACAUCUUCACCCAUUGGCCAAAAGCCUUCACCUGGAAGCUCCCCAACAGACCUAAAAUUUAAGUUUGAUAGUUUAAGUGCUCCAGCUGCUGAAUCAGACUGUUCACCAGAUAAGGAAGAAAAAAGAAUGGAAUUAGACUUCCCUGACUACAAACGUUUCCAAAAACACUGCAGGAAAAGCUCUGACAAGCCGUGGCUGUCACCAUGUCACAGCGUUCCAAAAAUAAUAUCGAGUCCUUUGAAAUUUCCUGUCUUUGAGGACGAUGAAGAAGGGAAAAAACCACAAAAGUCAAGAUGGACAUCAGUCAAAAAAAAGCUUGGAGAGAAUUCCAGUUCUGUGGCUCCAUUAGAGAGUCCUCUUCAGGAUACAAGACCUGAAAUCCGCAGUGGCCACAAAUGGAUAACAAGUCCUUUAAAAUGUCCCAACUUUGACCACAGUGAAGAGAAGACGCAACCAGUAAAAUCACGAAGGAAAUCAGUCAGAAAGAAGUCAGAAACUAACAAGACUGUCGGUUUGCUAGAAAGUCCUCUCCAGGUUGAAGCUUCGGAGGGAACAAAUGUCACAAAAAUUAUAUCAAGUGCUGUUGAAAGCCUUGAUGUUGAGGAUGAUGAAGAAAGGAAAAGACAACUAAUAUCAAGAAGGACAUCAGUCAGAAAAAAGCCAAAGGAGAAGUUUUCCUCCACGGGUUCAUUAGAGAGUUCCCUCCCGGAAGUUGGCAGUACCUCUGGAAGGAUAACUUCUUUAAGUUCUUUAAAAUGUUCUGUCUUUGACAAAAGUGAAGAGAGACAACAACCAGUAAAGUCACGAAGGAAAUCAGUCAGACAAAAGUCAGAGACCAGUAAGACGGUGGCUUUGUUAGAAAGUCCUCCUCAGGUCGAAGAUUUCAGAGGCCUUAUCUCUGAGGAGCACGGAGAGGGAGACGAUCAGAAGUCAAGCAGGGUAUCAUUUAGUGAAAAAUUAGAAAUUUGUAAUUCUGUAGUUUCUUUAAAAAGACCUUGUCAGGACACAGGUCCUAUGCAUAGCACUGUCACAAAAACAGUACCAAGCCGCUUAAAGGACCUUGAGGGAAAAGGAGAGAACAGUGGACAAAAGUCAAGGAGGCCGCCCGUUGACACAUCUAAAAAGGGAAAACUUAAAACUGACGAAACCUUUUCAGCGGCUAAGACAAACUCUUGUCCUGAUUAUGUGAAUUCUCAAUCAUUUUCAGCAUCUGUAGUUACAUCCUCUAGAGAGACUGUUAUUCCGUUAGACAAAGCGGAACAGAAAAUAUCCAAGCGUGCCCGACCUUCACUUUCUGCCUUGGCCCGAUCGUUAACAAUACCUGAUGGAUCUCCUAACGUCCCAUCUUCUGCUGAUGCCAACGACGAUGUGUUUGAGGAUUACUUUUCCCCUUGCAACAAACACAAGAAAAUGAAAAACCCUCUCUUGCCCAACCUGCCCACAAAGAGUGACAUUCAAAUCCCUUUUCAAUUUGAACCCAUAUCAAAAAAGAGGAAAGACAGGAGAAGUGAAGGCCCUGGAUUUGAAAGCAGUGGUAAAAAGAGGAGAAAACUGGAGGAAGGUCAGGGAUUCAGAAAUCAACGUCUGCACUCAGAUUCAAGCAGUCAUCCACAGCAGGAUGUCGAGGAACCCCCACCUGUACUGCACAGCAAAACACUAUUGGCUAAAAAGCAAAGGCAGUGCACUUUGCCAUUUACCAGAACCAACACAAAAACAGAAAGUGAUGACAUUGAACAAAGAACACCUCCUGCACAACAGGCGUCCACCGGAGGAGAGAGGGUACCAACACUGGUGAAAGAAUCUGAAGUGUGUUCUCCAAGUGGAGGAAAUGAACUUGCAGAUGCAGCUGGUGUAACAGAGAGUCCCUCUGAAGGUGAAGAAGCUCAAACAAAACUCAUCGGUGUGAAUGCACUGGAAAUGGGCAACAAGACAAAGGUAUUUCCUCCAUAAGCUCAUAAACUUCCAUAGGUGUGGGCGUUUGACGUAUCCAGCCCAAGAGGAUUCUGUCUGAUCUUGAGGGUUUCCUUUGUUUUGCCUGUCUGAUGGUGGCGUACAACAUCCUCACUUCUGAAAUGCACCUGGGCUUUGUUUUCGUUAUGCUGCUUACCUCAACAAGCUGCAAAAAGUGAAGCAUGACAUCACGUCCCCCCUGCCAUCUGUUAUGGUCUGCCUUCAUGGCAAAGAUGUUACAUGUACAUUUUCCUUGGAUGGUGGUGUUAAAGAAAAGAUUAAUGUAUAAAUAUGUUUGUUUUUUUUCUUCACACAAUCUUCAGUUUUGUGUUUGUGAUGACUGGUGGGAAAAAUCACACCUGCGCUGCUCUCGACUGAGGUGCAGAAGGCAAAUGAUAAAUUCCAUGUUCCUCCGCUCCAGUGCAGAAGUGCCGAUUUUCUGCUUCUCUGUUGCUGUGGAGAGAGUUCCAUUAGACCUGGUGAAAUAGUUGUUCAUGGUUCUUAUGUGCUUCUAAAAAGAGUACAGAACAUCUCACUAUUGUGUAUCACUAUUGUAGUCUUCGCUGCUUGAUUCCUCAUGGAACUAAUUUCACUUCAUUGUCCUCCUGGUAUUAUCUAAUAAUGUUUCAGUUAUUUAGCAAUCAUUUCUGACGUGCAGUCUCACCUUUUUUUUUAUCUCACUCUCUUUUUUUAUGGAAAAACCCAUCUGGUGCUUUUUACGUGUGGCUGGUAAUUGUGAUUAGCUCUGGCAGCACUAGUUGCCCUCCUUUAGCAAAAAAACGUAUUUAUCUCCCUUUGAUUUUCUGAAAAAACAUCAUUUCACUGCAACAUUACGCAUCGAGUCCCUGCAGCAGUUCACACUGGCUCUUUGUGGAAAAACUCAUUCUUCACUGCCUCUCUCCUUGUUUCUCUGCCAGAAUAUAAGAUCAGCCCUGCUGGAGAUUCCUCUGGAGAUCCCUCCCAUUUGGUGUUUUUUUUUCCUGUGUGUGCCUUAAGGCAGUGGUCCUGUGGUGUUGACAAAAAUGCUGUUCGUCAACUUAAAAAAAUAAAUAAGUGAAAAAUGUCAACUGCCUAACAGGAGCAAGACAAGUGUCAGGCCUUUACACUAGGCUGAUGACAGGCAGCGGAGAGAUGAAUCAAUGACAAACCGACAAAUAUUUUGUUUUUUAUCAGGUAUUUUUAUAGAUAAAUUCAGCUGCUUCUGGCCAAUUUCGAUGUGUUCUGCACGCUGCUUUUCUUGUACCAUUUGAAAAUGCAUCAGCUGUGCUUUCUGUGGUACAGUUAUUGUGUUUUUCAACAUCAGUUGGUUAUUUAAGAAGACAGAUGAAUUCACUCUCUGUUUCUCUCUGCAGACUGCAGAAUACAUGUAAACAAAUUAUAAUCCUACUCAGCUCCUGAAAGGGUCUGAAAAGAAAUUACUGGUUGUUUUUGUAUUAUAGUGCUUAGUUUUACACCCCUUCACUUUUUCAUUAGCAGCAGAUCACGGAUAUGCACAGGGGGCGUGGGGGCCGGGGGGUGCAGAAGAAGAAGCUGUUGACUAGAAACGGGGAGAAAAUAUGUCUGGUUUCCCAAACCCAACUAAUUCUAGGCUUUGGGAAACGUUAGUGACACAUAAGUCGAUACAGAUGGAUGUUACCUGACUGACCUGUGGAAAAUGUGUUCACACUUCAACACCCUUCACAUCCAGAUGAGAGGGUUUAUCCCAAAGCAAUGUGUUUACCUUUGUUUUAGGACAAACUGAAAAAAUAUGAACGUAGUGUUAAAGUAAAUUCUGCCUUGUUUCUCUUGGUUAUCCUUGACUAUUUUCUUCUGUUGCGCCACCUUAACGUAAUGACGUAUGGUCCAGAGAAAUGAAAUAUCACAAAAUAUCCAUUUGUUGUAUUAUAAAUGGCUUUUAGCUGAGUUUUAUGUAUACUGACAAAUGUAAGCUUUUACUGAAAAGAGAAAACUUCACUACUCGAAGAAUUUAGAUCCACCUUUUACUUCUUCAAAAGACUGGUCCCUUCAGGUGUUGCCUGGGAAACAUCAUUUUAAUAGAAGUCAACAGAUAUAGAAGGGAGGCAAACGAAUCAACUGUUUACAGAAAACAGGAAGAUAAACUUUUGUGGCUUUUGUUCUGUGCUGCAGAGUUUAAAGAGGUCAAGAGAAAUGAUUUGUUUGUUUGUUUCAUCAUUUCUUGUGUCUCUCAUUAUUUCAGAUUGGAAGAACACUGGUCACGACGAGCAUGCCUGCUGAGAAACAGGACACAGUGUUUCAGGUGGUCAAAGCUCUGGGUGGUUUUACAGUCGUUGACAGAGUUUGUGAAAGCACAACACACGUGGUGUCUGGGGGUCACCGACGGACCAU